rnacentral:rRNA from 1 species
CCUACGGGGGGCAGCAGUGGGGAAUAUUGGACAAUGGGGGGAACCCUGAUCCAGCCAUGCCGCGUGUGUGAAGAAGGCCCUCGGGUUGUAAAGCACUUUCAGUGAGGAAGAACGCCUGGUGGUUAAUACCCAUCAGGAAAGACAUCACUCACAGAAGAAGCACCGUCUAACUCCGUGCCAGCAGCCGCGGUAAUACGGAGGGUGCGAGCGUUAAUCGGAAUUACUGGGCGUAAAGCGCGCGUAGGUGGCUUGAUAAGCCGGUUGUGAAAGCCCCGGGCUCAACCUGGGAACGGCAUCCGGAACUGUCAAGCUAGAGUGCAGGAGAGGAAGGUAGAAUUCCCGGUGUAGCGGUGAAAUGCGUAGAGAUCGGGAGGAAUACCAGUGGCGAAGGCGGCCUUCUGGACUGACACUGACACUGAGGUGCGAAAGCGUGGGUAGCAAACAGGAUUAGAUACCCUAGUAGUC